UGCAGUCGAGCGGAGUUAGAGAAGCUUGCUUCUCUAACUUAGCGGCGGACGGGUGAGUAACACGUGGGCAAUCUGCCCGUAAGACUGGGAUAACUCCGGGAAACCGGGGCUAAUACCGGAUAAUCCUGACUCUCUCCUGAGAGUCAGUUGAAAGAUGGUUUCGGCUAUCACUUACGGAUGAGCCCGCGGCGCAUUAGCUAGUUGGUAGGGUAAUGGCCUACCAAGGCGACGAUGCGUAGCCGACCUGAGAGGGUGAUCGGCCACACUGGGACUGAGACACGGCCCAGACUCCUACGGGAGGCAGCAGUAGGGAAUCUUCCGCAAUGGACGAAAGUCUGACGGAGCAACGCCGCGUGAGUGAAGAAGGUUUUCGGAUCGUAAAACUCUGUUGUUAGGGAAGAACACGUACGAGAGUAACUGCUCGUACCUUGACGGUACCUAACCAGAAAGCCACGGCUAACUACGUGCCAGCAGCCGCGGUAAUACGUAGGUGGCAAGCGUUGUCCGGAAUUAUUGGGCGUAAAGCGCGCGCAGGUGGUUCUUUAAGUCUGAUGUGAAAGCCCCCGGCUCAACCGGGGAGGGUCAUUGGAAACUGGGGAACUUGAGUGCAGGAGAGGAAAGUGGAAUUCCACGUGUAGCGGUGAAAUGCGUAGAUAUGUGGAGGAACACCAGUGGCGAAGGCGACUUUCUGGCCUGUAACUGAC
rnacentral:rRNA from 1 species